AGUGCUCGCAAGAGAACCGGAACACAGGUGCUGCAUGGCUGUCGUCAGCUCGUGUCGUGAGAUGUUGGGUUAAGUCCCGCAACGAGCGCAACCCUUGUCAUUAGUUGCUACGAAAGGGCACUCUAAUGAGACUGCCGGUGACAAACCGGAGGAAGGUGGGGAUGACGUCAAGUCCUCAUGGCCCUUAUGGGUAGGGCUUCACACGUCAUACAAUGGUCGGGACAGAGGGUUGCCAACCCGCGAGGGGGAGCUAAUCUCAUAAACCCGAUCGUAGUCCGGAUUGCAGUCUGCAACUCGACUGCAUGAAGUCGGAAUCGCUAGUAAUCGCGGAUCAGCAUGUCGCGGUGAAUACGUUCCCGGGUCUU
rnacentral:rRNA from 2 species